UACAGAGGGUGCAAGCGUUGUUCGGAAUUAUUGGGCGUAAAGCGCGUGUAGGCGGCUUAGCAAGUCGGGCGUGAAAGCCCUCGGCUCAACCGAGGAAGUGCACCCGAGACUGCUGAGCUUGAGUGCCGGAGAGGAUGGCGGAAUUCCCCAAGUAGAGGUGAAAUUCGUAGAUAUGGGGAGGAACACCGGUGGCGAAGGCGGCCAUCUGGACGGUAACUGACGCUGAGACGCGAAAGCGUGGGGAGCAAACAGG
rnacentral:rRNA from 1 species